AGAUUGACAUUCUCAAAGCAGAUCUGGAAAGCGCAGAAUGGAAAGUUUUGGAAAAUCUUAUUCUGGAAGAUGUCCUCGAACAAAUUGGACAGCUCAUCUUCAAGAUCCAUCUCCACUGGCCCGGGUUUGAGGUCAGUGGCAGCGACAGCAGUGUUGUGCGGUUCUGGUACAGCCUCCUCAAAGAGUUAGAACUACAGGAUUUCAGGCUUUUUCACAGUUACAAAGAUUUAUCUAAACCUCAGAUAUUCCUGAGGAAAAAUAUUUUCAAUGCUAGUAGCUGUUAUACUCUGAGUUGGGUGAAUACAAGAUGGAAAUAGGUUACAGAAUCUCACUAAGAAUUCAAGGAAAUGUUUGCAGCAUGGAACAUGUCCAUGAUUCUAGUUAUUAGUUUACUUGUCCAGUCUCCCAUUAGUUUGAGCCCUGCUGGAGGCAGGGAUUGUGUUAUUGGCAUUGUAGUAGGUAUAGCCUGGUGCCCAACACAUGCUAGGGGCAUAGUUAAAACUUAUUGAGGGGUCGGACAAAGGAGCACCAUCGAAGUUAGCAUCCAUGGAGUUCCCAUCAUGGAGCAAAGGUAAUGAACCCACCUAGGAUCCAUGAGAUGUGGGUUUGAUCCCGGGUCUCAAUCAUUGGGUUAAGGAUCCAGUGUUGCUCUGAGCUUUGGUGUAGGUUGCAGACGUGGCUCAGAUCCCAUGUUGCUGUGGCUCUGGCGUAGGCCGGAGGCUACAGCUCCGGUUAGACCUCUAGCCUGGGAACCUCCAUAUGCCACGGGAAGUGGUCCUAGAAAAGGCAAAAAGGAAAAAUAAUAAUAAUAAAAUAGGGCCUUUCACUUGUUGUUAACUCACCUCUUUCAAGAUUUUUCUUAUUAACCAUGGUAAUGAUGCUUUUUACAACCUUGUAGAUUUCAGUUCCCCCUCAGCCUCUGGUGAGGCCAUGCUGUUGCUUUAUAAGAACCACCUGGUUUCUGGAAACUCAGACACACCAAAUUCUGUCACAGAGUUUAAAGACUAGACUAUCAAAAUCUUCAACUCAGGAUUCUUUUCGUACUCAGCCUUAAAUCCCUUUGUUCCUGUGAAACCAAGCACAAAGCAGAAUUGGGAUGUCUUCAAACCUGAUUUCUCUGUCACAGACUUGCCUAUGCUGCCAUGCUGUCAGAUCUUUUUUUUUUUUUUUAAAUACAUUAUCUCCAAUAUUGAUUUUUUUUCUUCUCUGCCAGUUGGCAUUCAUUGUAAGCCUGAGGCCUGAGGGCUGGAGUCUCUCUUUCCGGGAUGGUUACAGUGUAUUUCAAUAGUACCAAUCAUUUUGCAUUUUUUUGGACAAUUAAACAGAGAAUGCAUAUUCUCAAUAGUUCAAAUGAUCUCUAUCGUUUCUGUUUACAGGUUUAGACAUUGUUCCAGACAAAUGAUUUUCAAAAAUCCUAUUUCAAAUAAUUUAAUUAAGCAGUAGCAAAAUGAACCAAAUUAUUACCUUAUUACAUGUUAAGUGUAUCUUCUGGCAUUUUUUUUUAACAUCCUGAGAGAGUGGAAAAAAAUACAUACACACUGUUCAUUUAAGAAAUUUGGGGAGAGCGUAGAGUACUGAUUACUACUAGCCUUGAUUCCUUAUCCCCAUGUUUUGCCUCCUUUACCCCAGACAUUCUCUGGGUUGGCUUUUUGUUUCUUACAUUGGUUUGAAAAUACCAUUCCUCAGAUGAGAAACCAAAAUAUAGUUGAAUUAGAUGAUCUCACUAACUUGGGUUAAAAGGAAGUAAGACUUUGUGAAUCAGAAGUGAUUUUUUUAAAAAAAUAUUAAUGAGGUUUUUAUAUUAAAACUUAUGGGGAGUUCUCAUUAUGGUUCAGUAGUAGUGAACCCAGAUAGUAUCCAUGAGGAUGUGGGUUCAAUCACUGGCCUUGCUCAGUGGGUUAAGGAUCCAGCAUUGCCAUGAGCUUUGCUGUAGGUCACAGAUACAUCUCAGUUUUGGCAUUGCUGUGGCUGUGGUGUAGGCCAGCAGCUGCAGCUCAGGUUGGACCCCUAGCCUGGGAACUUCCAUGUGCCCAGGUGCAACCCUAGAAAAGGAAAAAACAAAAGCAAAAAUUUAUGGUACACUAAUAAAAGUCAUUGAGGUGAGAGGACCAGCUUGAAUAAGUUUGAUUUGAAAUGGCAGUUUAGUUGUUUUCAGUGUUCUUAUGGACAAAAAGUCCAUAAAGCUCUAAAGUGGUUUGUACUGUUGGUUUGCAUAUUAUAGCCUCCAGAACAAAGUUAACUUUAGUCCUGUUCCUGUUUGCCUUAUAGCAUAAAUUAUUUUUCAUUUUUAAUAAAAAUUUUAUACACUAAAGGAUAUACAGUAGUAUACAAUAUCCUUUUAGUACAUUAAACCUUUUCAUCCUCCUCAUAAGCCAAAUUAUGAAGUACACUAAUCCCAAGUGUCUAGUAUGAUCAGGUUUUAGGUAUGUUUACACUCAUACCAAGAUUUUUAACUCAUGGGAUUGAAGAUUAAUGGAAUUAUUGCAAAGCCCGUUUGUACAGGGCAAGUUACCAUUUAUUUCAGAUUGGUAAGGCAAAACAUCAACUUCAUUACACUACACACACACACACACACACACGUACAUACAUAUAUAUCUGAAGGAAGAGGAUGUACUGUUAGGAAAAAAAUAAAGACAAACUCAAAAUAAAUCACAAACACACCCACCCACACCCACCUACUAAGCAGCCUGUUCAAUAGUUAUUUGUACUCAUUUUAUGCUUUUUUAUAAGACUGUCCUUCAUUCCCUUCAUGGAUAGUUUGAAAUUUGUGGUGAAUAUUCUGACUGUUGCUAUGGUUUCCCUGCCUCUAGAAUUAUUAUGCUUAUUGUGUGGGCCAGGGUUUCUUAACCUCAACACUAUUUUCAUCUGGGGCUGGAUAACUCUUUGUUGGGGGAGGGAGGGCCAGUCUGUGCAUUUUAGGAUAUUUAGCAGCAUGCCUGGCCCUCCCCACUAGAUGCCAGGAGCACCUUCCCUUCUCCCCCUUAGUUAUAACAACCAGCUAUGUCUCUAAACAGUGCCACAUAUCCCCUAAGGGGCAAAAAUCACUGUGGAGAACUACUGGUGGAGGCCAUGCAGAAGGAUCUAGACUAUCACAGCACUAUUGUUUGGGGGGAUCCUGCUUGUGCUGAGCAGGCAAGACAACAACCAUCACCACAAUAACCACCACAAAAGCAAUACAAACAACAAAAUGAAAACAAACAAAAUGGGGAGCUGCUAUUUAUUGAGAGCUUACUAUGUGCCCAAUACUGUGCACAGACUAUUCCUAAUUCUCCAAACAAUCCUAUAAGGAAGUGUAAUUUUUCCCAAUUAUAGGUAAAGAAACUCUGAGAGGUUAUAUAGCUUAUUCAGUUUAUUCCAGUGGUGGAGCAGGAAUCCACAUCUCAGCCUGUCAGAUCCCAAAGCUCAUGUGGUUUUCUUCUACAGUGCUGUUUCAAUAGCCUUUGACAAAUAUAAAGACGUAUUUUUGCUUCCCUAUUAGUGAAUGGUAAGAAAAGCCUACAAAUAUACUAAGACCAGACCUGCAAAUCUCUUAAGAGUUGGGAUCAUUUUUGUAGUAUGCAGGUUUAAUUUAAACAAUCUACUUAAUUAAAAUCUACUUAAUUAAAGUAUCUGGAAGUGACUCUUGGCCCUGGCUGGUCCUAAUAAGUUGCACUUUUUCCUGGAUUUUAGAAAGGGCCCAGUCACUUGGAAGUGUACUGUGAAUUUCCUUUGUUUCAAACUCACCUUUGACCUGCAGAUAUAUGAACUCAGAUGUGAAUAUCUGUGACAUACGUUUCUUAAUUAACUCCUACCAGAGCAAUGCUCAUAAAUGAAUCUGAAAACACAAAUUUAAUGAUGUUCUUAUCAGGUGAUUAAAAAAAGUGUUCUUUUCUUAUCUGAAAGACACAUGAGGAUAUAAGAGAUUCAGAGGUCAACCUUUUAGCACAAAGUCUGUGUCACAAUUUGAGAUUACAGUCAAAGAAGAACAAUUUUCCCUUUCAGCCUUUUCUUAGAGUAUUGUAUUUGAUGCAGUUAUAAUAGGUUAUCAUAUAAAUAUUUGUAACUAUUUGAUACAUUCAAAUGAAGUGAGCCAGGAAGAAGGUAAGCUGACUUCUGUUAGAAUGGACUGAAGGCCCACUGGUAUUUUACAUCAUGGUAGAGAACAAAAGUAAAUUCAUGAAUUUACAGUGCUGAGUCCAAAUCAGUGACUCAUGAAAGCAGUUCUGCUUUGGCUGUAAGAUUUUAGUAUAUAGCAAAUACAAGUACAAGAUUUUUGCAUUUCCUAAGUAUUACAUGUUUACAUUUUGCAAAGCUUGGAUUAAUACCAGGGAGCCAGCCUCAUCAUCAUAUUUUUCCAGAUAAAAAAGGAAGGCCUCAUUUAAACAAAUUAUUCUACAAUGGUACCUACAAGCUGUAAUUAUAUAAUUCUCUUCUUUUGGAGAUAAAUUUGUUUGCCUUUCAAGCAAUAGCAUUUCUUUUUGUAUUAGCCAGUUGCUAGUUUUUUUGUGAAUUCAAUACAUUUAAUCUUAUGCUAAAAUGUCUUUUUUCUUACAUUUAAAGAGGUAGCUGAACUUUACUUAUAACAUGAAAUCAUAACCCUAAAGAUACAAUAUAUUCAUAAACUGCCUAAGUUUAUAAAUUAUUGAAAUUCUUUAAUUAUAUUUCUGUCCUUAAAAUAAAUCAAGCAGUCUUAAUGUUGUCAUAUUUUAUAUUUAUCACUAUGUGGAGAAAAGCUAGUUCUCAAUAAACAUUAAAACUAUUGCUUUG
rnacentral:lncRNA from 1 species